AUGCUAUUACAUUUACAUACCGCCAGCCAUCAUGGCCUUGAAUUCAUGGAAGUCGACGCGGCCAUCGCUGUCCCGGUCAUGCGCGGCGAUCAUGUCGCGCACCCGCGCCAUGCACGCCGCCUCCGGCAACCCCAUCCACGCCAGGACGGCCUGCAGCUCCGCCGCGGAGAUGUAUCCGUCGCCGUUCUCGUCGAACACGGCGAAGGCCUCCCUCGUCUCCGCCUCCUCGCCCUCCUCGCCUCCGCCGGCGAGCUCGGCGUGGAGCGCCUCGAAGUCCGCGAACCGCAGGCCGGGCAUGCCGGGUGCGACGUAGGCGGCGACGAGCCCGUCCGCCUGCGCGCCCAGCCCCAGGCGCCCCAGCGCGCCCGAGAGCUCAGCGGCGGUGAUGACGCCGUCGCCAUCGUGGUCGAAGAGGUCGAACACGCGCCGCACCUGCAGCCUCCGGUGGCGCUGCUGCUGGUGGUUCGGUUGCCGCGGCGCCGUGAAUAUUGUGUGCUAGUGCUAUACUCCCUCCGGUCUUUUUUAGUUUGCAUAUAA
rnacentral:rRNA from 1 species